UGAGCAAUCUGCCCUUCUCUUUGGAAUAAGCAUUGGAAACGACGUCUAAUGCCGAAUACACCUCCUUUCNCAUGAUCGGAGGUGGAAAGCUCCGGCGGAGAAGGAUGAGCUCGCGGCCUAUCAGCUAGUUGGUGUGGGUAAUGGCCCACCAAGCGACGACGGGUAGCCGGCCUGAGAGGGUGACCGGCCACACUGGGACUGAGACACCGGCCCAGACCUCCGUACGGGAGCAG
rnacentral:rRNA from 1 species